rnacentral:lncRNA from 1 species
UUAUAAAUCAGAAGCCGCCAUAGGGGGAAAAAUAUUUCAUGCAAUGUUUAAUGCAUUUACAGGAAUCGAAUUGCUGGAAAAUCAAAACGUAGACCUGAAAGCGGAAUCGAGAAGCUGAAGUCGGAACGACAGCAGCUGGUCGAGAUGCUCUCGGGACACCAGAAACACUGCAAGAAAAACCACCGAAUCACCACUCUGACCGAGGAAGAUUUCGCCAACGACCCGGAAUUCAUCUCAACGGACCUCGGGACGAACCCCUUCCACCGGGAGACGCAACCCUCGCCACGACCCCUAUGGAGCCCGGCAAACCCGAGGCCGUGAGCCACGGGCCCAGCACCUCUGCGCAUGCGCAGUACACGAUGGACUACUCCGCGCGGGAGUUCCCGCCGUCCGAGACGGUGCCCGGAGAGGAUUAUGUCUAUCCAGGCUCGGAAGUCUACUUCAGCAAUCCUGAUAUCAAACCACCCAUUGGCAUCAUUCCAGGCGCGAACUAUUACGAGCGGAGCUACAACGCGACGACGCAUCCGAGUUUCCCGGCGUACUCAGUGCCGACGGGAGUGGCGGCCCACGGUUCGCCGUUCGCCCACUCAGAGUACGACAGCAACGUGGAGCUGAUGAGCCCGGCCAGCACGGGCACCUCCGGCUACACCGACUACUCCACCAGCGACGCCUCCAACUUCUCCCAUUUCCCCGUCCCCUGCGCCACGUCCCCUCCCGAGGAGUACCCCCAAUCCCACCCAGGUACAACUGCGUCUACGAGAUCAACCCAUAGCGCCGGGUCCCCAUUUCGACCCAGCGACAUAAUCAGCAUGAAAUACGGAAGAGUCUUAAAUGGACCGCGUUUAACAGAAAGGAACCAAGCCACAUCAGCUAUUGCCAAAUUUAACAGGGCAAUUUAACUGUUACGAGAGAACGCUUGUGGGGAUUCCAUUGAAAAUUUUAAGGAAUUUGCUUCGUACUGUAAAAAAAAUCCACUGAAAUUUGCACGAAAAUCCGCACAACACUGGAAAAAAAACACAUUGGAUCUAGAGUCCAGACUCUUGAAAACAUUGACAAGAAAAAAUACUCUUGAUUCAAUCAGAUUUUCGCUUAAAUCAAAAGGAAAUCCGCUCAAAUUAAGAGGCUUAUAUUAGGUUCUUGAUUUAAGCAAAAAUCCGAUUGAAUCAAGAGUAUUUUUUCUUUUCGAUGUUUUUAAGUCUGGGCUCUAGAUCCAAUGUGUUUUUUUCCAGUGAACCGUUUUCAUGUAAAAAAUCAAAGUGCCCAAUUCAAUUUGGCAAUAUCUGAUGUGCCUUGGUUCCUUUCUGUUUAACGCGGUCCAAAUGGUGUGUUGGAGCAAUGCACUUCUGUUUGACACAGAGUGGAAGCAACGACUUCAGGCUAGCAAACAGUAGUAGGCUAAUAUCUGUGAGCAGAUUAUUAAAAUUGAUCGACAAAGCGAAAGACAAAGAAGAUAAAGGGCGAAAUGCGUAAAUCCAAUUCAUUGGAAUUAAUGAGAUCGCCGACGGCGGUGUUACUGUAGACUAACAGGGAAAAUGAUGGACUAGCUAAACAGUUUCUCGUGGGUUGCAGUUAGUCAGUCUAUCACUUACCCCCUCCAUUGUCCAUUACAACCACCCACAUCAACCAAUAGGAUUUACUAUAUGUCCUCUUUGUCUAUCAUGUUCAAUAAUCAGCCCUCCGCUCAAGUGCAGGUUGCGUUUGAAUAGAAUCUUUGUUUCAAUAUCGCUGUCCUCAAAUGUACAUCUUAAUUUUAAAGAAAAUGGAGAUACUCUAGUAAUUUAAGUGCAAAAUGUUUCGAUUAAUCCUAGUAGUUAGGAUUGUUGGACAUGGCAAAAUUCCAAAUGCCACAUAGCAAUAUAGUUGUCUUGCAAACAUACUUCCAGUUUUGCUGAGAAAAAAAACUCAUUGUGAAAAAAAAAAAUUCACUCAGUAAGCCUCUGCAGCCGUUUUGGUGAAUACUUUACGAUCAAGAUCGAGAUGGUUUAAAAAUUCGCCCUUACGUCGCUGCUGCCACACUGUAACACCCCCCUUCCUCCCGCCGCCGCCCCCUCCUUGUGAAGCAUAUUGUAUAAAUAUUUAUAACUAACAGCAAUUUAAUAUAUCGUGAACCGUCACGUAUCCAAAACUCAAUGAAGAUUAAAUUGAAUUAAACGUGUUUAAGAAGAAUCUGCAUGUAUACUGGCAUUCAAGUUUACUCACGAGUAAGUGUCCGCAAAAAUUUUUCUUCAGGAGAAGUUAAAAACUUCCUAUCUACUGACCACGGCGAUGAGUCAACCAUAUUUAUACCCCCAAAGAUUACAAUUCAUGUUACCUCUUUUUAUGUUUUUCCCCUGUGCCAUUGUCUUCGCAGUUAGCGACUCCGUUCAAGCCAUAAUGUAACUACUCAAAGUUAAAAAACAACAAAAGAUUCUGCCAAAGAUAUUUACCUAAUGGUCAUUUCGACUUAGUGACAAUCUGAAGCAAUUCAAGUUAUUAUGAGUUGUUUCACAAAGAAUGGAAGUGUUCCUAGAAAUUGCUUGUUUCGUCGGUUACCUCAGUGAUGAGCACAGUAAAAGGAGUUGCUGUUAAGUAUUUGUAUGCUGAGACAACUGUUUUUAUUGUUUGAUUAUUUGUUUUUUCUUUCUAUUUUUUUUUACCAACUUUUAUUUUUUCACCCCUCUCCCAGUGUUGUAUUUAUUCAAGAGCUUCAAAAGCUUGAGGCGCCUUUUUCCUUCAGAAAAUUCACAUUUCUCCGUUUCUCCAUCUCUUUUUGGCCCCCAUAGAGUCACAAAUCGCUACACAGAUUACAUUUCCAUAUCAAAUAGCAAAGAUUACCAUCCAAAAUGGACCAAGUGACUUUAAUACCGAGUUGAUACGCUCCGAAUGUGAGCUCAAAACAGAGGCAUCGAUGAUUUUCCCAACCUUCUCGUUGGCCCAUGGUGCAAUUAGGGUUCAUCGAUGACCGUAUUUGCAGCGUGUAACUCCGCAAAAGGUGAGAAAAAAAUUAGAGAACGAAUGGAGCAGAAAAAUUAGGAAAUGCCUUAAUCAAAGAUACCGAAAAAAGGUACGUAAUCUUUUUGACGUUUUUUGCAGUCAAAACUUGAGAUACCUUAACUUCCCUCAUGAAUGACUCUGCUGAAACCUUUUGGCAGUGUCGUUAAUUGGUAGAAUUCAAUGAAUCGAUGAUCAUUUAAACCCAUAUCAAAUCAAGCCAAUAGUUUGACCACGUUGAGCAGGAGGGAACGACGUCAAAUCAGCCGUUGUCAAAUUUCAUCAAACGACUGGAGAUCGAUAGUGUACAUUUUUGUGAAAAUUCCCGAGGACUUCUUUUAUGAUGUUAAACAAAUUCCCUGAAAUUUUUGAAAGAGACCACACAACUAAUCUCCUGUAAAGAAAUAAAUUGUUUGAUGAAAUUUGGCAAUGACUGAUAGGUACUCGUAUGACUUGGCUCUUCCUGCUUGAUGCGGUGCUGUUUGGAGACUCCAGCGCAUGAGUAGAAAAAACAUCCUUAAAUCCUUGAAUUUGUUUAAGAUCAUAUCUAUCUAGCUACAUAUCUGCGGCACGAGACUAAUGAUCAAAACAGAUGUUUGGGGUUUUUUAGACAAACCUCAUCGAUAAAAAAAUGGAAUAUAUCAAGAUAAAAUCUAACUGAAAAAACAGUUAUGCUCUCCCAGUGAUUCUAGUAAAAUCUCAGCAGUUGUUCAAAAUUGAGAAAAAUGGACGUAAUUACGAUAAACGAAAGUCAAUUUUUUCAUCAAAAAGAUAAGAGGAAGGCAUUAGGUAAUUCAAUCUUUUGAUAUUAUGACAAUUCUUUGCACACCCUCAACAUUUUAUUCCAACUGGUGUUACUGAAUAUCGUGGAUGUCUCCCAAUAUUGUGGUGGAUCUUUUGAUGUGUUGCCUUCUAUAGGGCAGAUAGGACCUCAAAGUAUACGCUUAUGCCCCAUUUGUAUUAAAAUGUUACCGAUGUUUGAGUUAUACCUACCUUGUAUACAGCAUUAUUCAUUCAAUUAAUAUUUACCAAGUACAUAUAAUAAGUUUUCUAUUUAUGCUGUUGUCUUCGUACUGUAUACUUUUUUCUUAGUUCUCUAUUAAUAGAAAAAAUGUAUGCUAUUUUUUUCUCAGAGAGAGGCCCUUGAAACUUCAUAAGACGUUGAGUUCGCCGUAAAGUGAAGAACAAUCUGUAAAUCCACCACCUUACCUUAAACAAAUUGAUUACUUAGGUAUUUUCCAAAAUAGAUACCUAAUAAAUUUUACUCUGUCUCAAACAUCUUAUUGUAAUUUUUCUACAUGUAUCGAAGGAGAGGUUCAGAAGGGAUUUCAUCUGAAAAUAAAUAUAGAGAUCUUAAGGGACAUAUGAAAAUUUUCUUCGUUGAUUUUAUUUUGAGUCGGCUGUUGCCUAUUUGACGAUUCUCUUUUAUUUGUAUCUGGUAUCCAGAAUUAACCAUCUUUGUUAAAAUGUAUUUAUAUAUGAUCUUCCCUUGCUUUUGCUGAAUUUAUGUACGUAACCUGCAUCUUCUUAAUAUGGCCUUUUCAUUGUGUAAUGUAAAUGCUCAAUUUCUAAAAUCAAAAAAUUUUUUUUGCUUAAUUGAACUUAAUCGUUGUACCGUGUCUAGGUCAAAAUGAAAUAAAAUCAAAAAGCUCCAGAAAUUGGAAGUUCAAAAUUGCUGUGUAAAUAUUUAUAGCUUUACGAAAACCUGCGAUUGUAUAAAAUCCGAAUUUCUGUGAUAUUAUGAGUUAAAAUAAGUGAACCAAAAGCAUAAAUAUUACAAUUUUUAUCCUGUCCAAAGGAAUAUCAAGGAAAUGUUUAUUUUUUUUGUUAAAGAAAUAAAUACAUUUUUUUUUACUGCUUAUUAUGCUUUCAAUUACUGUCUCCCUACGUCGCACACUGGCGGGUGGGCGGAAACAAUUCAGGAGAUGGACAAAUUUUUUUCCAACCCAGAAAGCAGAAGUAUCUGAAUGAUUUUGUAGCUUAUGCUACAGACUAUCAAGUUGUAGCAUCAAUUUUAUUUACUCUUCCCUCAAUGAUUUUCAAACAGACCCUUGUCGGGCAUCGAAGGAAAUAGCUACUUUUGGUGCUAAAGUGGUCUUCGCCUAUAAGUCAAUAGCAAGAUUUUAUUUUCAAAAACCGACAUUAUACUCUGUAAGUGUGUAGUCUAAUUGUAAGCUACAAAAUUAUAUAUUAACAUGCUCAUAAAAAU